GUCAGCGCGGCUGUGCGGGCGGAGAGCUGUCGAUCCCAGUGAUUAAUGCCAAAGCCCUGUUGCCUGGGGAGAGGGUGAUGUUUGACUUUCUUGUACAGCUGCAGUUUGUGUGGUGAAGGUGCUCCCACAAUGUGGUUGGGAUGAGGCUGUCACUGGCUCGGCCAGCAUUUCUUGCUGCGUUUACCCAGAGGGCAGUUAAGAGUCAACCACGUUGCUGUAGGUCUGGAGUCCCAUGCAGACCAGACCAGAUGCCAGUGAUUAAUGCCAAAGCCCCAUUGCCUGUGGAGAAGGUGAUGUUU